UCUCAGGAUGAAAGCAGGGGACCGCAAGGCCUUGCGCUCACGGAGCGGCCGAUGGCAGAUUAGGUAGUUGGUGGGAUAAAAGCUUACCAAGCCGACGAUCUGUAGCUGGUCUGAGAGGACGACCAGCCACACUGGGACUGAGACACGGCCCAGACUCCUACGGGAGGCAGCAGUGGGGAAUUUUGGACAAUGGGCGCAAGCCUGAUCCAGCCAUGCCGCGUGCAGGAUGAAGGCCUUCGGGUUGUAAACUGCUUUUGUACGGAACGAAAAGACUCUGGUUAAUACCUGGGGUCCAUGACGGUACCGUAAGAAUAAGCACCGGCUAACUACGUGCCAGCAGCCGCGGUAAUACGUAGGGUGCGAGCGUUAAUCGGAAUUACUGGGCGUAAAGCGUGCGCAGGCGGUUAUGUAAGACAGAUGUGAAAUCCCCGGGCUCAACCUGGGAACUGCAUUUGUGACUGCAUAGCUAGAGUACGGCAGAGGGGGAUGGAAUUCCGCGUGUAGCAGUGAAAUGCGUAGAUAUGCGGAGGACACCGAUGGCGAAGGCAAUCCCCUGGGCCUGUACUGACGCUCAUGC
rnacentral:rRNA from 1 species